UCGUUGUUGGGGAUUGCAAUGGUGAAAUUUGUUAUUAAUUUAAUUGCUUUGUAAAAUAAUACUAGUUGAAAGAUAAACGAGUUAGAUAGAGUGUUAAUUUUUUUUAUUUUCAUUAUUUUUUCUAUUUUUAUUUAUUUAAAUAUUUUUAGAUACAUUGUCGACUAUUUAAUUUAAUCAUGAAUGCAGUUGAUUAUGAAUUUAAUGAUAAU
rnacentral:lncRNA from 1 species